UACGAAGGGGACUAGCGUUGUUCGGAAUCACUGGGCGUAAAGCGCACGUAGGCGGAUGUGUCAGUCAGGGGUGAAAUCCCGGGGCUCAACCUCGGAACUGCCUUUGAUACAGCACGUCUCGAGUCCGGAAGAGGUGGGUGGAAUUCCUAGUGUAGAGGUGAAAUUCGUAGAUAUUAGGAAGAACACCGAUGGCGAAGGCAAUCCCCUGGGCCUGUACUGACGCUGAGACGCGAAAAGCGUGGGGAGCGAACAGG
rnacentral:rRNA from 1 species